GAUAGAUAAUAGACAGUAACAGCAGUAUACUGUAGGUAGGGGUAAAGGAUAGAUAAUAGACAGUAACAGCAGUAUACUGUAGGUAGGGGUAAAGGAUAGAUAAUAGACAGUAACAGCAGUAUACUGUAGGUAGGGGUAAAGGAUAGAUAAGACAGUAACAGCAGUAUACUGCAGGUAGGGGUAAAGGAUAGAUAAUAGACAGUAACAGCAGUAUACUGUAGGUAGGGGUAAAGGAUAGAUAAUAGACAGUAACAGCAGUAUACUGUAGGUAGGGGUAAAGGAUAGAUAAUAGACAGUAACAGCAGUAUACUGUAGGUAGGGGUAAAGGAUAGAUAAUAGACAGUAACAGCAGUAUACUGCAGGUAGGGGUGAAUGAUAGAUAAUAGACAGUAACAGCAGUAUACUGUAGGUAGGGGUAGAUAGAUAAUAGACAGUAACAGCAGUAUACUGUAGGUAGGGGUAAAGGAUAGAUAAUAGACAGUAACAGCAGUAUACUGUAGGUAGGGGUAAAGGAUAGAUAAUAGACAGUAACAGCAGUAUACUGUAGGUAGGGGUAAAGGAUAGAUAAUAGACAGUAACAGCAGUAUACUGUAGGUAGGGGUAAAGGAUAGAUAAUAGACAGUAACAGCAGUAUACUGUAGGUAGGGGUAAA